CCUACGGGUGGCAGCAGUGGGGAAUAUUGCACAAUGGGCGAAAGCCUGAUGCAGCAACGCCGCGUGAAGGAAGAAGGGUUUCGGCUUGUAAACUUCUUUCAACAGGGACGAAAGCAAUGAUGGUACAUGCAUAAGACGCCCCUGCUAACUACGUGCCAGCCGCCGCGGUAAUACGUAGGGGGCAAGCGUUAUCAGGAAUUACUGGGUGUAAGGGGUGCGUAGGCGGCAUGGAAAGUCAGAUGUGAACUCCUUGGGCUUAACCCGAGAACUGCAUUUGAUAAUGUCAGGCUAGAGUACGGGAGAGGAAGGCGGAAUUCCUGGUGUAGCGGUGAAAUGCGUAGAGAUUAGGAAGAACACCAGUGGCGAAGGCGGCUUUCUGGACAAAAACUGACGCUGAGGCACGAAAGCGUGGGGAGCGAACAGGAUUAGAUACCCUUGUAGUC
rnacentral:rRNA from 1 species